GCUUGUCUCAAAGAUUAAGCCAUGCAUGUCUAAGUAUAAGCACUUAUACCGUGAAACUGCGAAUGGCUCAUUAUAUCAGUUAUAGUUUAUUUGAUAGUACUUACUACUUGGAUAACCGUAGUAAUUCUAGAGCUAAUACAUGCACAAAAUCCCGACUUACGAAGGGAUGUAUUUAUUAGAUACAAACCAACAUCGUGGUGAUUCAUAAUAACUUUGCGAAUCGUAUGCCUCACGGCGACGAUGAAUCAUUCAAAUUUCUGCCCUAUCAGCUUUGGAUGGUAGGGUAUUGGCCUACCAUGGCUUUAACGGGUAACGGAGAAUUAGGGUUCGAUUCCGGAGAGGGAGCCUGAGAAACGGCUACCACAUCCAAGGAAGGCAGCAGG
rnacentral:rRNA from 1 species